rnacentral:rRNA from 1 species
AGCAGCCGCGGUAAUUCCAGCUCCAAUAGCGUAUAUUAAAGUUGUUGCAGUUAAAAAGCUCGUAGUUGAAUUUCGGGAUCAGUAUGUCGGUCGUGCUUCGGUACGUACUGUCAUUACUGGUUUCUCCCUUCUGAAGAACCGUCAUGCCAUUCAGUUGGUGUGGCGGGGAAUCAGGACUGUUACUUUGAAAAAAU